rnacentral:rRNA from 1 species
UACGGAGGGAGCAAGCGUUACUCGGAAUUAUUGGGCGUAAAGGGCGCGUAGGCGAUCUGAUAAGUCUCGUGUGAAAUCCCAGUGCUUAACGCAGGAAUGGCACGGGAAACUGUUGGAUUUGAGUUCCGGAGAGGAAGGCAGAAUUCCCGGUGUAGCGGUGAAAUGCGUAGAUAUCGGGAGGAAUACCAGUGGCGAAGGCGGCCUUCUGGACGGAUACUGACGCUGAGGCGCGAAAGCCAGGGGAGCGAACGGG